rnacentral:rRNA from 1 species
UCCGUAGGUGAACCUGCGGAAGGAUCAUUAAUGAAUGUUUUGGAUUGUGCUGGCUUUGCAAGUGCACGUCCUUUAACUCCACACACCUGUGAACCUUUGACCUGAAGCCUUAGGGCGGAAGGUAUUACACAAACUCUUUGUUAUGUAUGUGACUUUGAUGAAGGCUUCAUGCCUGAUUAAUAAACAACUUUCAACAACGGAUCUCUUGGCUCUCGCAUCGAUGAAGAACGCAGCGAAUUGCGAUAAGUAAUGUGAAUUGCAGAAUUCAGUGAAUCAUCGAAUCUUUGAACGCACCUUGCACCCUUUGGUAUUCCGAAGGGUAUGCCCGUUUGAGUGUCAUUGUAAUCUCACAUCCAAGAUUUGUUUCUUGGAAGGUGGACUUGGAGGCUGCUGCUGCAAAGCGGCUCUUCUUAAAUGCAUUAGUGAUGUUGGAUCUCGCAUUACAAACCAGUGUAAUAAGAUUUCGCUGGGUUGGCUUGAUGUAAACGUUGCUUCAAACCGUCCGCAUUGGUGGACUGUCGCACUUUGCGGCAUUUGACAACUUGGACCUCAAAUCGGGGGGUAGGGGGAUUACCCGGCUGGAACUUAAGGCAUAUCAAUAAGGCGGGGAGGGGAAGGUCGGACUGGCCAAGGGGCACACAGGGGGGGGGGAUA